rnacentral:lncRNA from 1 species
GAUGUAAACUAUUGCUAUUGAGAUGACCCAAAUGGAAAUUCCAAGGGUCAAUUGAAUGUUGUUGAGUAGAAAAAGGUCGUGGACCAAAAAUAGAAUUUACUUCAGAGCCAAUACAAGCAUUGUUAGAUUACAAAGAGGAACACAUUGAGAAUUAGCAAUUGAUUUAACAAGGUUGGUAUGCUCACAAGCAGGAGAUAGCGGAACAGCAAAACGUGGUACUGAUAACACCAGCAGGGGUGGAGAAUCAUAAGUACUAAGCAGAUGUAGCUAAUGGGUGUAUCAGUUACAGGCCGCGGUGCAGCUCAGCUGUACCAAUCAUUCUCAUAUGCGGUAUAGCCUGUAGCAAGCAAAGAUUGAGAUAGAAAAACAACGCAUCGAUAGUGUCAUGCUUAGCCAACUAACUCACUAAAAUAAAAUUGAACGUAAAUGACGGCACAAGCAAGACAUUGGUCAAUCGUUAGCUGGUGGAGUAAAAAACUUCCCUAACAUGGGUGACGAAAAUCAAAGAGCCUGUAGGGGAGAUACACAAACAUAGUAGAAACAGAUCCACAAGAUUGAAUCAAGCGUUUAUUACAGACUAUUUGUUCUAAGCACCCGUAUCGAGCACCAACUUGCUAAAGCAAGAAGGAGAAAUAGCAGUUGCAUAAAGAUACAAGGGAAGGAAAGUGGUAGUUGAGGAGGAGCUCGGCUGGUCAGCUGACCCGGAUGUUUAACCAUCCAGAAAUCCCAACUUUUGUUUGUUAUCGAUCACCAUGGUCAUGGACAUCGCCCACUCCGUAUAGUUGGAUUUGGUGAGGACCUCGGACACGAAGCACUGGCCCCAGUUCUCACUGGGAUGGAUAUAAUAAGGAUUGGAAGAAUCAAGAAUUUUGAUAACUGAGCCAGCAGGUGGCACCGAUUUUGUGGGAGGAACAAAACCAGUAAGGGGAACGGAACCGUCGGAAGAACAUCGAUUGACAUUGAAGUAGUGAACAAGAGAAAUCAAGAAUUAAGAGAGGGAAAGGAUCGGAAGUAGAGAAAAUCUAAAAAGUACUAUAUGAUACCAUGUUAGGUGAAAGAAUUAAGAGAAGUUUUUAUUAAAUGAACUGAAUUAUUGAUUGAAACAAGCUUUCCAUCUUGACUUUAUAGAAGGAUGAGUUAGGGAGCUCUAACUGACCACAAACAUAAUUACAAGAAAGGACUAAACAUAAAAUAUUUAUUCCUAAACUACCCUUAUAACGCUAACAACAUUCAAUCCGAUUAUUA